AGUCUUCUCGAGCACAUCGUCGCAAACGGGGCCGGAAAGCGUGGCAGCGCAGGCGCAAGCGCAGAGAGCGGAGGCGGUGGUGGUGGCGGCCGCUGGCCAGUGUAAGAUGGCGGCGGCGUUGGUGGUGGCAGUGGACGGGGCGGCUGGGCCUGGAACAGUCGGAGCAGCCGCUAGCAGAAGGAUGACCCAAGACGGGAAGCGGGCUGCUGAGCCUCGCCGAUUCCCGUGCUUGUAACUGCCCCAGCCGGACACCCCCCCUCCCUUGACCUACCCGGUCUGUGUCUCGUUCCGGCUCGGCCUGCGCCCCCCCUCGCUUCCCAGCCGGUUUCCCCUAAGGAUGGGCCUGACCCAUAUCCCAAGCUCUUAGCGAUCAGGUCUUUUCCUUCCGCCGACCCGAAGUCAUCGCUGGGAGUACUGGUUGCCCUUUCCUCAGUCCUUCAGUGAAUCUACAGACCUAUUUUCUCAGGAGCUCAGCCUGGCCUUACUUCAGUGAUAAAAGGAGGAAAGGCUGGCUACAGCAAACAUCAUUCAAGAUGUCCAGCAAAGGGAGCAGCACAGAUGGCAGAACAGACUUAGCUAAUGGAAGCCUGUCUAGCAGUCCAGAGGAGAUGUCUGGAGCUGAAGAGGGGAGGGAGACAUCCUCAGGCAUUGAAGUGGAGGCCUCAGACCUGAGUUUGAGCUUGACUGGGGAUGAUGGUGGCCCCAACCGCACCAGCACAGAAAGUCGAGGCACAGACACAGAGAGCUCAGGUGAAGAUAAGGACUCUGACAGCAUGGAGGACACUGGUCAUUACUCCAUUAAUGAUGAAAAUCGAGUCCAUGACCGCUCAGAGGAAGAGGAAGAGGAGGAAGAAGAGGAGGAAGAAGAGCAGCCUCGGCGCCGUGUACAGCGCAAGCGGGCUAACCGUGACCAGGACUCAUCAGAUGAUGAGCGGGCGCUAGAGGACUGGGUGUCCUCAGAAACAUCAGCUCUACCCCGACCUCGCUGGCAAGCCCUCCCUGCCCUUCGGGAGCGGGAGCUGGGUUCAAGUGCCCGCUUUGUCUAUGAGGCCUGUGGGGCAAGAGUCUUUGUGCAGCGUUUCCGCCUGCAGCAUGGGCUUGAGGGCCAUACUGGUUGUGUCAAUACCCUGCACUUUAACCAGCGCGGCACCUGGCUGGCCAGUGGCAGCGACGACCUGAAGGUGGUGGUGUGGGAUUGGGUACGGCGGCAGCCAGUACUGGACUUUGAGAGUGGCCACAAAAGUAAUGUGUUCCAGGCCAAGUUUCUUCCUAACAGUGGUGAUUCUACUCUGGCCAUGUGUGCCCGUGACGGGCAGGUUCGGGUAGCAGAACUGUCUGCCACACAGUGUUGCAAGAAUACAAAACGUGUGGCCCAGCACAAGGGAGCGUCCCACAAGUUGGCACUGGAACCAGACUCUCCCUGUACGUUCUUAUCUGCAGGUGAAGAUGCAGUUGUUUUCACCAUUGACCUGAGACAAGACCGCCCAGCGUCGAAACUGGUGGUGACAAAAGAGAAAGAGAAGAAAGUGGGGCUGUAUACGAUCUAUGUGAAUCCUGCCAAUACCCACCAGUUUGCAGUGGGUGGACGAGAUCAGUUUGUAAGGAUUUAUGACCAGAGGAAAAUUGAUGAGAAUGAGAACAAUGGAGUACUCAAGAAGUUCUGUCCUCAUCACCUGGUGAACAGUGAGUCCAAAGCAAACAUCACCUGUCUUGUGUACAGCCACGACGGCACAGAGCUCCUGGCCAGUUACAAUGAUGAAGACAUUUACCUCUUCAACUCCUCUCACAGUGAUGGGGCCCAGUAUGUUAAGAGAUACAAGGGCCACAGAAAUAAUGCCACAGUAAAAGGCGUCAAUUUCUAUGGCCCCAAGAGUGAGUUUGUGGUGAGCGGUAGUGACUGUGGGCACAUCUUCCUCUGGGAGAAAUCAUCCUGCCAGAUUAUUCAGUUCAUGGAGGGGGACAAGGGAGGCGUGAGAGAUGCAGGGCUGAAUGCCCUCUCCCAGGCCAGCAUUUGUCCAUUCUCCGAAAGCAUUCUGCAGGCCAGUUUGCUUUUAGCUCAGCCAAUGCCAGGGUUUGAUGAUUAACCCAUUUGCCCAGGUGAGGAAGGCAUCUACUUGGGAUGGGUGGGCCCCAGGCCUAAGUUUUAGUGGUCCUAAGAGUAAAUGAGUAGAAUAAGAGAUAUAGAGGCUACCCCUGAAGCAAAUUUCCUUAGAUGUUCUUGUCUCUGUGUAAGCUGAAUGAUCGAUGUGGUCUUUUACUUGGCUCCCUCUGCUCUGUUUUUUGGUCCUAAUUUUCCAGCAGUGGGGGUUACCAGGCACUACUUUCAAUGUAGUAGACUCAGCAGUUCUAUAUCAUGCAAAUUGUAAAUGUAGAGUAGAAUGUAAUUGUAACGUAGAAUGUUAGAACCAAAGAUCUUAGAAGUUAUUUUCUACCUUGCCCAGAUCUCCUGACUGAUUUGAGGAUCUUUUCUUUGUUCCCAUUCAGCUUCACAGGGACAAGGGUUGGGGGUGGUAUCAGAGGACAGCCCCUUAGUCUCCCAAGAGCACUUUGAUGCUUGAUCCCAUUCUCUACAUUCCCCCAGCCCAGUCAUCUAAGGCCAGAGCUCUUUUCUCUGCUCAGGCAUUAUUGACAGGAUAAGUCCUGGCAUUCAGACAGGUCUGGUGAAGUGACCAGGUACUCUGGCCCAGAAGUUCUCUGUCGGCUCCCCCCGCAGGCUCCAAUUCAGGUAAACUGUCUUGAGCCCCACCCUCACCUGCCUGUGCUGGCAACCAGUGGCCUAGACCAUGAUGUGAAGAUCUGGGCACCCACAGCUGAAGCUUCCACUGAGCUGACAGGGUUAAAAGAUGUGAUUAAGAAGAACAAGCGGGAGCGGGAUGAAGAUAGCUUGCACCAAACUGACCUGUUUGAUAGUCACAUGCUGUGGUUCCUUAUGCAUCACCUGAGACAGAGACGCCAUCACCGGCGCUGGCGAGAACCUGGGGUUGGGGCGACAGACGCGGACUCUGAUGAGUCUCCCAGCUCCUCAGACACAUCGGACGAGGAGGAGGGCCCUGACCGGGUGCAGUGCAUGCCAUCUUGAGGCCUCAUACCUAGGUGGGGCAGGCUGGGGCUGCCAACCUGAUCCUGCCUGGGCAACCCUUUCCUGUCCCAGGCCCUACAUUCAGCAGAAACGCACUUUGGACUUUUUGCUUUAGAUAAAAGAAAGACAUCCCAGGAGAAGGACAAACCAGAGGAGUGAACCAACAAAGAGUACCUAGGAAUGGGAGUUGAGCCCUGGAAUGGGGCUCCAUGGAGAGGUGCAUAGGACUCAGCAGAAAUGGCCUCUCCCCAAAGCCUCUUUUUGAGAGGAGAGGGAAGCCUAUUUUGUUAACUGGUUUGGGAUAGGGAAUGGGGUUUCUUUUUCUUUAAUCUCCCUUGUUUCUUGGGCGGGGGGAGGGGUGGGGGGAACAACUGGCUAUUCAGUACCAAGGGGCCAGAGUGGAGGGUAGGAGUGCCACUCUCUCUUUGGUUUAGGUUUUUGACCUUUUCUUCCUUUGUUUUUUAAAAGUUUAUGACAGUUGGUUUUUCCCCCCCUCAGCAACCCCAUCCCAGAAUCCUAUUUUCCUGGGAAGUCCUUAAAGCCCCUAACCAUCCCACACUCUUCACUUUCCUUUCCACCUUAUUCAUUCUCUGUACUUAUCACAGUGUUUUGCACUUGAUUACAUAUCCUUCACUCUCUUCUCUUCAUCCCAUCACCCCCUAAAUAGGUCAGGUGAGGGAGGUUGGGAAGAGGUGGGAGGAGGGGCAGAAGUGAAGGAAGAAUAGGAAGGAUAUUACCUCUUCUGUUAUUUUUUUAAGAAACAUUGUUUGGUGGCAGCAAUCUCCCUGUCCCUAUCACUGUUAGAGGCCUAAUUUUAUAUCUAUAAAUAUAUUAAAAAGCAAGUCAAACUUGGAUGUAUCAAGGUAAAAUUAUUGUCAAAGUUUAAAUACCUAUAUAUUCUCUAUGAAUGCAAUAAAGGGACUUAAGAGUGAACAAGAGUAAUGGUGUGGAAGUGACACCUGGGGUCAGUUUACCUCUAUGUAUGGUCACUAGAGAUUGGGACUUACCCUUUAGGUUUUAGGAGGCUCGAGAAUGGAAGGAUCCUCAUUUCUGCCCUUCCUGGUUCCCUGCUUUGGCGUAGGGGUUGGGAAAAACAGGAAAUUCCUCUCAGCUCUGCCUCAGAUCUCCUACCUCUCCUUAAGUCUUGUAGGGGGUUCCAAGGAUGGCUCUUCUAACCAGAGGCUGGCCUGUCUUUAAAACUUAACUACUUUAGGGUGGUGCCACCACUGCAGACUAUUGUGGUAGUUUGUGACAGAAGACAUGUACACACACACCACACACAUACAUACACACUCUCUCACUCUGUCUCUCUUACCUUUAGCUGCUUGAUCUUUAAGCCAUCCAACUUCAUGCCAGUUCCCUUCUUUAUAGAAGAGUGAAGGGAAAGACUUCCUGGGUUUGACUUAAACCUUGUCCACCUCUUGAUAUUUUAGGAUUGAGGAAUAAGUCAUUAAUCUAAGGACUGAUUACAGUGGCUGGAGCUUGGGCACUUGUCUUAUCACUGGUCACUGAGUCUGAAAGUCCCAGCUGAAUUCUUGCCCUUAAGUGCUUUUGCUGCUAUUUUUUUGCCCCCAGUUCCACAAGAUCCAACCAAGAAUUCUGUAUCCUGGGACAGUCAGAUUCUACUAAAUCAGGCCAGGAAGGAGGGGAAAAGAGUGAGAGAAUGGUAUCCCCAGAUACUUCUUCCUCCUGCCCCUUUUCCCAGCAGCUCUGAGACCAGAUGUUGGCUGCUGUACUUACUCCCUGAGGUAGGGAAUGUGUGGUGAUUGAGUGGUCUGUGUUCCUAUUGCUGGUGGGGUGAUAGGGUGGGCUAAAAACCAUGCACUCUGGAAUUUAUUGUAUUUUCUCCCAGUAAAGCUUUUCUUCUCCCGA